rnacentral:tRNA from 1 species
CCUUUCGAGGUGUAACGAUAGCGCACUCGGCUAGCAUUCGAGAGAUCCAGGUUCGAGUCUCGGCGAAGGCA